GAUGAACGCUAGCUACAGGCUUAACACAUGCAAGUCGAGGGGUAACGAGAGGAAAGCUUGCUUUCCUUGUCGACGACCGGCGCACGGGUGAGUAACGCGUAUCCAACCUGCCCCCAACUAGGGAAUAACCUUGCGAAAGUAAGACUAAUACCCUAUAAUUUCCUCAGAUGUCAUCUGACGAGGAAUAAAGAUUUAUCGGUUGUGGAUGGGGAUGCGUCUGAUUAGCUUGUUGGCGGGGUAACGGCCCACCAAGGCAACGAUCAGUAGGGGUUCUGAGAGGAAGGGACCCCAAAUUGAAACUGAGACACGGUCCAAACUCCUACGGGAGGCAGCAGUGAGGAAUAUUGGUCAAUGGGCGGAAGCCUGAACCAGCCAAGUAGCGUGCAGGAUGACGGCGCUAUGGGUUGUAAACUGCUUUUAUACAGGAAUAAAGUUAGCCACGUGUGGUUAUUUGUAGGUACUGUAUGAAUAAGGACCGGCUAAUUCCGUGCCAGCCGCCGCGGUAA
rnacentral:rRNA from 1 species